rnacentral:lncRNA from 1 species
CUUUGGCCGAACUCCCCCCACCUCACUGCUCCCCCAUCGUUGCUAUCAUUUGUGAGCUAGAUCUGGCCGGAGCUAUGUACAUAUGGAGUUGCCCCGACCAAAGUCGUUGAAGUAGCAUCACCUCCAUCACUACUUUGUUUUCUUUCGAAUAAGAUUUUGAUUUUUGUAUGUUUCCAUGUCACUUAUCUGUGGUGAAAUUGACGUUGCUCCGGUGAUGCUUGGAAGCAACACCACUUCCUUCUCCAUUUAUUAUUGUUUCACCACUACCUUUUUGCCAAUCUUUUGUAUUCUUUUAAUUUAUUUUCUGACAUUGCUUUGAAAUUUAUUCUGGUGAUGCAUCAUAAUUUAGUUCUAUGUUUGAUUUAGUAUUCUUCAUUGUUGUCUGUUGCUACUCCCCAU